UCUCUCUCUCUCUCUCUCUUCAAGUUGAUGUUGUAUGGUCAGUCUAGUCACUGAUAGUAGCGUGAAUAUUAACCUAUUGCAGCACUGUGGUAUUGUGGACAGUGCAAACCAUUUUUGGAGAUAAAUUGCCAUAUAUGUAAUUAAAUGAUGGCUCAGAUUACAGAAUCUUUGUUUCUGAAUUGUUGAGUCCCUUUAUUUAUUUGUACUAAUCCAAUUCAAAGUGAAUAUUAAUGUAAUUGAUAUUUUUAAUAAAUUUAAAACAUUUUAUUUAAUACACAUACGAUGCAUGUUCAAUUUGUUCCUGUCUUGGGUGUUGGCUAUGUUUAUUUAUGUAUAUUGAAGAAAUGACUUUGUUAGACGUAAUUGCAUCAAUAUAUUGAAAGAAUUCUCCACAUAUUAUUUUUGAUUAGUGCUUCUUUUAAUAAAAUAUUUAAAGUUACAAGUUUAAAGAAGUAAAUUUUAUUAAAUCUGUUUUAUUAUUAUUCUCAUUUUAAUGUAUACCUUAAGUUGCUAUUAAUUCAAUCUGUUGACAACCUUAGGCAUGGAUUAUAAGGGUGUGGUGGCUUGCACGGUAAUCUCGACUUGCUGUAGAUGGAAAUUGUAAAAGUAGGAAAUUUAGUAAUUUAGAUUUUAUAUUUUAGAUGUUUGAUUUUCU
rnacentral:misc_RNA from 1 species